rnacentral:rRNA from 1 species
AUUGAACGCUGGCGGCAUGCCUAACACAUGCAAGUCGAACGGGGGUAGUGAUACCCCAGUGGCGGACGGGUGAGUAACGCGUAGGAAUCUGCCUGGUAGAGGGGGACAACCUGGGGAAACCCAGGCUAAUACCGCAUGAGCUCGCGAGAGGAAAGCGGGGGACCUUCGGGCCUCGCGCUACCGGAUGAGCCUACGUCCGAUUAGCUGGUUGGUGGGGUAACGGCCCACCAAGGCGACGAUCGGUAGCUGGUCUGAGAGGACGAUCAGCCACACUGGGACUGAGACACGGCCCAGACUCCUACGGGAGGCAG